UUAACACUGAGGCGUGAUGACGAGGCACUACGGUGCUGAAGUAACAAAUGCCCUGCUUCCAGGAAAAGCCUCUAAGCAUCAGGUAACAUCAAAUCGUACCCCAAACCGACACAGGUGGUCAGGUAGAGAAUACCAAGGCGCUUGAGAGAACUCGGGUGAAGGAACUAGGCAAAAUGGUGCCGUAACUUCGGGAGAAGGCACGCUGACACGUAGGUGAAGUGAUUUACUCACGGAGCUGAAGUCAGUCGAAGAUACCAGCUGGCUGCAACUGUUUAUUAAAAACACAGCACUGUGCAAACACGAAAGUGGACGUAUACGGUGUGACGCCUGCCCGGUGCCGGAAGGUUAAUUGAUGGGGUCAGCGCAAGCGAAGCUCCUGAUCGAAGCCCCGGUAAACGGCGGCCGUAACUAUAACGGUCCUAAGGUAGCGAAAUUCCUUGUCGGGUAAGUUCCGACCUGCACGAAUGGCGUAAUGAUGGCCAGGCUGUCUCCACCCGAGACUCAGUGAAAUUGAACUCGCUGUGAAGAUGCAGUGUACCCGCGGCAAGACGGAAAGACCCCGUGAACCUUUACUAUAGCUUGACACUGAACAUUGAGCCUUGAUGUGUAGGAUAGGUGGGAGGCUUUGAAGUGUGGACGCCAGUCUGCAUGGAGCCGACCUUGAAAUACCACCCUUUAAUGUUUGAUGUUCUAACGUGGACCCGUUACCCGGGUUGCGGACAGUGUCUGGUGGGUAGUUUGACUGGGGCGGUCUCCUCCUAAAGAGUAACGGAGGAGCACGAAGGUUGGCUAAUCCUGGUCGGACAUCAGGAGGUUAGUGCAAUGGCAUAAGCCAGCUUGACUGCGAGCGUGACGGCGCGAGCAGGUGCGAAAGCAGGUCAUAGUGAUCCGGUGGUUCUGAAUGGAAGGGCCAUCGCUCAACGGAUAAAAGGUACUCCGGGGAUAACAGGCUGAUACCGCCCAAGAGUUCAUAUCGACGGCGGUGUUUGGCACCUCGAUGUCGGCUCAUCACAUCCUGGGGCUGAAGUAGGUCCCAAGGGUAUGGCUGUUCGCCAUUUAAAGUGGUACGCGAGCUGGGUUUAGAACGUCGUGAGACAGUUCGGUCCCUAUCUGCCGUGGGCGCUGGAGAACUGAGGGGGGCUGCUCCUAGUACGAGAGGACCGGAGUGGACGCAUCACUGGUGUUCGGGUUGUCAUGCCAAUGGCACUGCCCGGUAGCUAAAUGCGGAAGAGAUAAGUGCUGAAAGCAUCUAAGCACGAAACUUGCCCCGAGAUGAGUUCUCCCUGAGACUUUAGGUCUCCUGAAGGAACGUUGAAGACGACGACGUUGAUAGGCCGGGUGUGUAAGCGCAGCGAUGCGUUGAGCUAACCGGUACUAAUGAACCGUGAGGCUUAACCUUACAACGCCGAAG
rnacentral:rRNA from 1 species